rnacentral:rRNA from 1 species
GAUGAACGCUAGCUACAGGCUUAACACAUGCAAGUCGAGGGGUAACGAGAGGAAAGCUUGCUUUCCUUGUCGACGACCGGCGCACGGGUGAGUAACGCGUAUCCAACCUGCCCCCAACUAGGGAAUAACCUUGCGAAAGUAAGACUAAUACCCUAUAAUUUCCUCAGAUGUCAUCUGACGAGGAAUAAAGAUUUAUCGGUUGUGGAUGGGGAUGCGUCUGAUUAGCUUGUUGGCGGGGUAACGGCCCACCAAGGAAGCGAUCAGUAGGGGUUCUGAGGGGAAGGUCCCCCACAUUGGAACUGAGACACGGUCCAAACUCCUACGGGAGGCAGCAGUGAGGAAUAUUGGUCAAUGGGCGGAAGCCUGAACCAGCCAAGUAGCGUGCAGGAUGACGGCCCUAUGGGUUGUAAACUGCUUUUAUACAGGAAUAAAGUUAGCCACGUGUGGUUAUUUGUAGGUACUGUAUGAAUAAGGACCGGCUAAUUCCGUGCCAGCAGCCGCCGUAA